ensembl:snoRNA SNORD22 Small nucleolar RNA SNORD22
CUGUGCUGAUGAGAGCUACACAUGUCUGAGGCCAGGUGUCAGUGCCAGACCUGAGAAGGUGAACCCACUGGUGCUGCCCUGGCACAUGGCUGACUGCUUGUUGGGAAUCCAACAGUCUGAACUGA